rnacentral:rRNA from 1 species
AUACGAAGGGGGCGUAGCGUUGUUCGGAAUUACUGGGCGUAAAGCGCAUGUAGGCGGACAUUUAAGUCAGGGGUGAAAUCCCGGGGCUCAACCUCGGAACUGCCUUUGAUACUGGGUGUCUAGAGUGUGGAAGAGGUAAGUGGAGUUCCGAGUGUAGAGGUGAAAUUCGUAGAUAUUCGGAGGAACACCAGUGGCGAAGGCGGCUUACUGGUCCAUUACUGACGCUGAGGUGCGAAAGCGUGGGGAGGC